rnacentral:rRNA from 1 species
GUAAAGUUAAUACCUUUGCUCAUUGACGUUACCCGCAGAAGAAGCACCGGCUAACUCCGUGCCAGCAGCCGCGGUAAUACGGAGGGUGCAAGUGUUAAUCGGAAUA